UUUGCUUUUUAUUUCAAGAGUCCAGCAUAAAAUAAGUGCUGAAGUGUUCUUUUACUGUUUGUGCACCAAAGAUCUGGAUUGCCAGAGAUACACUAGGCUAAUACAGUGGAACAACAUUAAAAAAUCUCUUAAAAACUCAUAUUUUUUUUGGAUUUUUCAUAGUUGCUUUUUAGCUCUGCUUCAAAUAGAUUAUAUAUGUACUUCAAUGUCUUUUACUUUUUAGAUUUGCAAUUAUUACUAAACUCUACAAUACUCUGUUUUCAUUUCCAGGUUUUCUGCAGUAGUGCUUUGCACCACUGCCAUCUGAUCCAGAUACUCUGCAGCUGUCUGUGAUGUUGGAAUGGUUGUGAAUACUCGGACAAAACAUAAAUAGAUAAUGUGCAGUGGUGCCCUCCAUUAUGCUGGCUGGUAGUGCCUGUGCCGUUAUGAAUGCUUUCCAGGUAAACAAUCAUUGGCUGCCAGAUUUCAAAAUGUUGCCUCUGCAGCUUAAGACUGAAAGUUGCAGACCCGUCUCACUGAAUCACUGGAGAUGUCCAACUACACGACUGCCCUUGAAUUUGCUAAGUUUAAGUAAAUGAAGGCUAUGACUGAAACUAAUUGUAAAAGUAAUAUAGUGUGAUGGGGAUAUCUACUGCAUCAAAUCUUUAGCAAUGUUGUAUCAUACUAUCUAGAUAUUAGUAGAUAACUUUGUUACAUUUAAGUACUGCAGAAUGUCUGGGAGGAUGGGCUGUCUUUGGUCUUAUUUUAUC